CAGGGGGAUGAUAUACAUGCUAAGGUGACAACAACCCAUAUGGCUGCUUUCUAUGACAAAAUAGCAUUGGACGAUACUUACACGGUGUCGAACUUCAAAGUUCAGCCAAAUGUGUCGACUUUCAAACCAUCGUCGCACAAGUUUAUGGUGAAGUUUACCGGAGGAACAUCCGUUGGUGAUGAUGAUAAACAUGAAAUACCACCCAAACCACUAAAUUUUACAAGUUUUUCUGAUAUCAUCACUGGCAGGUUUAAAAAAGAUACAUCAUUGGAAUGGUGGAUAGCAUUGGAUUUUCGGUGGCACAAUCAGGGGCGAAAAAACAAUAAGUUAAUUUAGUGCUACGUGACCACAGCAACAACACCGUGAACUGCACUCUUUGGGAGUCGUAUGCCGACCAAUUCAUCAAGUUCAAUCAGGAUCGGGUGAAUGCGUCUGCACCAACUGUGGUCCUGCUUCAAUAUGCAAAAGUCAAGGAAGAGGGUUAGUUGGUUUAUGUUGUAUUUAAUAGUGCGACACUUUUAACUACUCACACGUAUCUGUCGCUUGAUUAAUGUAGGGAAGUUUCCACUGUCCAUCACAAACACUUACAAUGUUACGAUGCUCUACCUGGAUGCUGAUUUUCUUCCAAUCAAAGAGUUUAUAGACAACAUCCCUAAAGAUUUGGUGGUUAGUGUGUCUGGACAACUAAGUUGUAACUCUCAGCUUACCUCACAAGGCUCUGAAAAUACUCAACAAACUCCUGUUUAGAAGUUGCUCUCUAAGGCUGUUGUUAUGCCUCUCGCUGAGAUUACCAAGCUUACUGACGUAUGGACUACGUUUACAUAUAACUUUUACUUUCUAUUUCUAAAUUGUGUUGCCUAUGGUUUUUACAUAAUUUACAUUUUGUGCUAUUUUCGGUUGAUGCAAAUCACAUUUUGCGCUACUGUUGCCGAAACUAAAAUUUUAGUAGCAUCUCCAUUUGGCUGGUAUUAUCGAGCCUGCCAUUUAUGCCCAAGGGUUGCACGCGGUGACAAACCUCCAUUUCUUUGUGAAGCUGGUCAUUCCUCCGAAGCUGAGAUAUUUAGGUAUAAGAUAGAAAUUAAAGUUUGCUACUCAGGGAAAAGAUGUAACUUUGUUUUCUCGGACAAAGAAUGUGCACAGAUUUUGGAUUUAUCCGCUGCUCAGAUGCGCGACACCAUGAUUCAGGCUGGAAUUCAUGAUCCAUUAGAAUUUCCACUGGCACUCGAUGCGAUGUUGAAUUUGGAGAUGGCAUUUAAAGUUAAGUGGCAUCCGCGUUGGAAAAAUUGCUCUGUUGUCAUGAUCCUAAGAGAUGACCCCUUCAUCAAACAACUUAAGGCCCCUUGGGAACUUCCCUUGCAGGUGUAAUUCAUAAGCACACACUUAGUAUUUUAUUAUUUCUUAAUUUUCUGUUACAAAGAUUGUACUGAUCCUACUAUGAUCACAACAAGAAGGCAGCAGGAAAUGUCUCGUCUAAAACAUCGAAGUUGCUGCAGGUUUUUUUCCUCGCUCCACAAUUUACAUAGUCUUUUACUUUUAUUCGGUUAAUUUGUACGGAUGGAUCAAGUGAAUCAACAACUUUUGAAGGAUUGUCUGAAGGAGAACUCUCAUCGAACAAGCUUAAGAAGAUCAUCAAAAUGGAGAAGAAGGAUUAGUUGUAGCUAUACUUUGUUUAUCGUCUUGAAUCCUAAUCUGUUUGUUUCAUUGUUGCAUUUUAUUUUUUAAUCGACUAUAACUACUUUAGCAUUUGCGGUUGAAGUUUAUCAAUAUGCACUAUUUAUUCAUAAUGGAUUAUAUUUUUUUAAUGCUAAAGCCAACUUUAUAUUACAAUACAUGCUAAUACAAACAUCGACAUACAUGCUACUAAACAAAAACAACAAAGAACAGAAUACUGGGAUGUGCUAGAACUGGAACAAUACCAUUUGGCACAGGCCAAAUAAAUUGAAAACUGCAGCAGGAAAGUUCCACCGAAUACUGGCAUGUGCUGGAACAACAACAUUCUUAAUAUUUUACAUAUAUAAUUGAAUUAUUAUUAUGUAUGGCCUAAUAGUCACAUGCAUCUAUGUUUUGGUUUUGGUUGAUCAUAAACCUGAGUUAGUGACUGACUUGCAAAUAUAUAUUUUGGUUUUGUGCUGAUGGUGUACACAUAAUUAGUCAAAAAUCACAAGUUAGUUUCUGUAACACCGGACUCUUCAAUCUCAAAUGAGGAGGUUUGCUCAGAAGUUUAAACAUUUCUUAACUAAUCAAUUGAGUUUGGCUUGACCUUUUCCAUACAACUGUUAUUUACCCCAUUUUUAAUCUUCAUGUUAUGUAGAUUCCGAAACUAUAUAAAUUACCUAAAUUCAGUCCAAUUAAAUCUGGCUGCUGUAGACCGCCUUAUGAGUAUGUUCUUCUUUGUUUUUGAAGAAUUUCUUUAUCUAUAAUAUCUGGUGAACCGAUAUAGGUUGCAGAUUUUGGAUUGACUAAGCUUAGUGAUGUUGUAAGUUCAACGGAUAGCAUUAUUCAUGUGGCAGAUCCAUUUGGUUACAUGCCGCCGAAGUUAUUGACAAAUUCUGCUUAUUUUUUUGUGGUUGAUGAUUAAUUAGAAGUUUUGAAACUGUAAAGUUUGUCCAGUGAGUUUAAUUUUACCAUUCACUUUUGUGUAGAAAUGCUUAUGGAUGUAUUUCAGAAAAAUAGUUAAUUCAUUGCUAAUCACACUUCUGUUAUGUAGAUUUGAUUAGUGGUAAUGUAUUGUUUUCUACAGUUGAAUGAGGUUUUGGUUCCUAAUCCAUUCAAUAGGCUUCGUGCUGAGUUUCUGUUGGAAGUGAAUGGAAUCAAAGGAUUCUAUCCUAGAUGUUGACAUUUAAUAUGAUGGUUUCUUUUUCAAGAGCAUUUUUUUGUUGACAUUUGAAAGGAGUUCGUAGUUGCUAUGAUGAGGGGAAACAUGUGGCUGAGACUUUGAUGUUUGAUUAUCAGAGACAACAAGGAAUAAGUGAUUCCCGGUCUUCUGUUCCUCUUAAUUUCCUCUCAUUCUCUGUUAGGUGUAGCCUGUCACAUGGCUGAAAUUAUGACAUAUAAGAUGAGAUUAAUAUGUAUGAUUACAAUGUAAAAUCAUAAAUCCUAACUUAAAGAGCUCUAUCUUUCAUUAGUCAGUUUUAAUCACUGUAGCGUAUUAAACGAGAAAUACUUCUUGACUACCGCAGUGCUUUUUCAUGGGAUGAAAUAUGAACACUAUUUCAUUCUUUAUCAUUUCAAUGAACAAGGGAUACUUCUUGACUACCGCAGUGCUUUACUUUUGACUUGCUUUUCAGUUCUUCCACAUUAGUUGAAAGAGAACAAUUGGAGAUUCCAGACUCAUGAUAUAUUUUUAGUAUAUUUUUGUCUUGCUUCUGUUCUAAGUCAAGAUAGGCAAUGGUAGAUGUAAACUUCUGCAAAGUAUCUUUUUAGCUUGCAAAGUGUCUUUUUAGCUUGCUGUUUUUCUAGCAUCCGUAUGUCAUAUUCUGUUGGUGGUAUCGGAGGGAGUUGAUGACGAUAGCCUGCGGCAGUUGUCAUUUGAAGUUUCCUCCAAUGAAAUAAUGCACUGUGUGAGGAGCCCUACUAAAUUUACAAAUGUAAUUCUCACUUGCAAAUGGCUAUGCUCACAGUAUGAUAUCACCGAGCCAAGCUUUUUCAAGAGGCAAAGCAGUUGGUCAAGGGUUUUCUUCAUUUCAUAUCUUUAGUAUUCUAUGUUAACUUUUGGUUUGUCUUCAACUUUGGUUUGUCUAGCAAAAGACACUGGAAGUAGCAAUGAAUUAUAUAAACAACUCACUGGCAGAUGGCACAACUUGCAUAGAAUGUAAUAAAUCGAGAUCCAAAAAGACGUCCAAGGGUGAGAGUUGUUGUAGUUUCACUUAUGAAACUAAAUUAUAUUAUUCAUGAUGGAAGAACGUGGUAAUGUGUUGUUUAAGAGAGGUGAGUGGAAAGUUGUGACGACUGAACACAGACGACCUGACUCGGUGCUUGCGGAUUUGGCAGAAUCAGUAUUAGUUGAGGUGUACUUUGAAUCAGAUGAUGUUCAAGCUGCUAUUGUUACAUGUGGAGGUCUAUGCUCUGGACUCAACACUGUGAUAAGAAAAUUAGUUGGUGGCUUACGCCAUAUGUAUGAACUUACUCGAGUUCUCAGAAUUGAGGUACAUCGAUAUUUAUGAUAUUAAGCCUAAACCCUUUGAGGUUCAUCCGGUUCAGCACUUACACAUUUUGGUUCAGCAUUUGUGAAGUAAACUAAAUUAACCAGAUAUCGACGAAAAGCAACUCUUUGAUUGAAUCGACAACGACAAUUGAACACCAUCAAGAGGCAGAAGAAAAUGGCUGACGUAUUUUGGUUAGCUCUCAUAUAGAAUGUGACAUAUCAUAAAAUGGGCUAUGUUCUGUUAUGAUGUAAAGAUUCCUAACUAUACAUUAUACGAAAUUCAGAUAAAACAACAUGCUCUCUCUCUCUCUCUUCUCUUUUUCAAUCAUGUUUACAUUCAAUGCUUCCCUAUACUCACCAUCCAUUCAAAACUCAACCUUUUUUAGUAGUUAAAACACAUAGGUAGCACCCCUCAAAACUAUAAUAAUAGAUCACACUUCAAGACAUGUAAGCAUCCACUCUUCUGUAAUGAGAGCUUACAUAUUGUAACCU